rnacentral:rRNA from 1 species
CCUACGGGUGGCAGCAGUGGGGAAUAUUGCACAAUGGGGGAAACCCUGAUGCAGCGACGCCGCGUGAGUGAAGAAGUAUUUCGGUAUGUAAAGCUCUAUCAGCAGGGAAGAAGAAAGAGGGAACCGGACAAAGAAGCCCGGGCAAAGUACGUGCAAGCAGCCGGGGAAAUACGUAGGGGGCAAGCGUUAUCCGGAUUUACGGGGGGUAAGGGGAGCGUAGAGGGCUGUGCAAGUCGGAAGGGAAAGCCGAGGGCUCAACCCGGGGACUGCUUUGGAAACUGUGGGGCUAGAGUGCGGGAGAGGUAAGUGGAAUUCCUAGUGUAGCGGUGAAAUGCGUAGAUAUUAGGCGGAACACCAGUGGCGAAGGCGGCUUACUGGACUGUAACUGACGUUGAGGCUCGAAAGCGUGGGGAGCAAACAGGAUUAGCUACCCCUGUAGUC